ACUUGGUACCCAGUACAAAUUUGUUCAGCCUUUGCUUGUCUCUUAAAAUCCUCAUAUUCUAAAUUACACUGAUAUAAAGAUUCAGCCUGCUCAGGGCUGUGGUUGCUACAGAAGAGGAAUUCAGGAAAUGAGCUGUUUGUGGCAAAGACUCUCUCAUCAUCAGUUUUUGAACAGCACCCAGCAUAUUAAUCUCAUUCUGGAAAUGACUCUCCAUGACUCUUGCUUGUUAAAAAAGAACAAAAAUGAAGGAAGAAAGAUGAAAAGGAGAUAAAAAUUAUACAAAGUACAAACCUGAUACUAAUAGUUUCCAGUGGACAUCAAGAACUGAAUUGCAGUUUAUCACUGAAGAGAUAUGUACAUUUCCAAGCCCAAGCAACUGUUUGCAGUGUAGUUCAGGUUCAAUCCUGGUUCUUUGCAGCAGGUCAAAUGGAGAAAUUCACAUGCUGGAAGUCAUAAGGGGCUUGAUUCUCU